rnacentral:rRNA from 1 species
UACGAAGGGGGCUAGCGUUGCUCGGAAUGACUGGGCGUAAAGGGCGCGUAGGCGGUUUGUACAGUCAGGUGUGAAAUUCCCGGGCUCAACCUGGGGGGCUGCACUUGAUACGUAUGGACUGGAGUGGGGGAAGAGGGUCGUGGAAUUCCCAGUGUAGCGGUGAAAUGCGUAGAUAUCCGGAGGAACACCGAUGGCGAAGGCGGCUUCCUGGACCGACACUGACGCUGAGGCGCGAAAGCUAGGGGAGCAAACGGG